AACAAGGCGUACCUGCGGACCUGCGGAAGGAUCAUUACACAAUACAAUAUGAAGGCUGUCCGCAGCUGGAGUAUUUUAUUACCCUUGUCUUUUGCGCACUUGUUGUUUCCUGGGCGGGUUCGCUCGCCACCAGGACCACCAAAUAAACCUUUUUUAUGCAGUUGCAAUCAGCGUCAGUACAAACAAUGUAAAUCAUUUACAACUUUUAGCAAUGGAUCU
rnacentral:misc_RNA from 1 species